rnacentral:rRNA from 1 species
UCAUAUGCUUGUCUCAAAGAUUAAGCCAUGCAUGUCUCAGUACAUGCCGAAUUAAGGUGAAACCGCGAAUGGCUCAUUAAAUCAGUUAUGGUUCAUUAGAUCGUGGACACAUUUACUUGGAUAACUGUGGUAAUUCUAGAGCUAAUACAUGCAAACAGAAUUCCUCUCAGAGAUGGGAGGAAUGCUUUUAUUAGAUCAAAACCAAUCGGUGGCGGACGGCUCGUCCGUUCGUCCAUCGUUUGUUUUGGUGACUCUGAAUAACUUUGUGCUGAUCGCAUGGUCAUCUAGCACCGGCGACGCAUCUUUCAAAUGUCUGCCUUAUCAACUGUCGAUGGUAGGUUCUGCGCCUACCAUGGUUGUAACGGGUAACGGGGAAUCAGGGUUCGAUUCCGGAGAGGGAGCCUGAGAAACAGCUACCACAUCCAAGGAAGGCAGCAGGCGCGCAAAUUACCCACUCCCGGCACGGGGAGGUAGUGACGAAAAAUAACGAUACGGGACUCAUCCGAGGCCCCGUAAUCGGAAUGAGUACACUUUAAAUCCUUUAACGAGGACCAAUUGGAGGGCAAGUCUGGUGCCAGCAGCCGCGGUAAUUCCAGCUCCAAUAGCGUAUAUUAAAGAUGUU